GUUUGGUUAAGUUAGAAAGGGCGCACGGUGGAUGCCUUGACACUAGGAGUCGAUGAAGGACGGGACUAACGCCGAUAUGCUUCGGGGAGCUGUAAGUAAGCUUUGAUCCGAAGAUUUCCGAAUGGGGAAACCCACCAUACGUAAUGGUAUGGUAUCCUUAUCUGAAUACAUAGGGUAAGGAAGACAGACCCAGGGAACUGAAACAUCUAAGUACCUGGAGGAAGAGAAAGCAAAUGCGAUUUCCUGAGUAGCGGCGAGCGAAACGGAACAUAGCCCAAACCAAGAGGCUUGCCUCUUGGGGUUGUAGGACAUUCUAUACGGAGUUACAAAGGAACGAGGUAGACGAAGCGACCUGGAAAGGUCCGUCGUAGAGGGUAACAACCCCGUAGUCGAAACUUCGUUCUCUCUUGAAUGUAUCCUGAGUACGGCGGAACACGUGAAAUUCCGUCGGAAUCUGGGAGGACCAUCUCCCAAGGCUAAAUACUCCCUAGUGAUCGAUAGUGAACCAGUACCGUGAGGGAAAGGUGAAAAGCACCCCGGAAGGGGAGUGAAAGAGAUCCUGAAACCGUGUGCCUACAAAUAGUCAGAGCCCGUUAACGGGUGAUGGCGUGCCUUUUGUAGAAUGAACCGGCGAGUUACGAUCCCGUGCGAGGUUAAGCUGAAGAGGCGGAGCCGCAGCGAAAGCGAGUCUGAAUAGGGCGUUUAGUACGUGGUCGUAGACCCGAAACCAGGUGAUCUACCCAUGUCCAGGGUGAAGUUCAGGUAACACUGAAUGGAGGCCCGAACCCACGCACGUUGAAAAGUGCGGGGAUGAGGUGUGGGUAGCGGAGAAAUUCCAAUCGAACCUGGAGAUAGCUGGUUCUCCCCGAAAUAGCUUUAGGGCUAGCCUUAAGUGUAAGAGUCUUGGAGGUAGAGCACUGAUUGGACUAGGGGUCCUCAUCGGAUUACCGAAUUCAGUCAAACUCCGAAUGCCAAUGACUUAUCCUUAGGAGUCAGACUGCGAGUGAUAAGAUCCGUAGUCAAAAGGGAAACAGCCCAGACCGCCAGCUAAGGUCCCAAAGUGUGUAUUAAGUGGAAAAGGAUGUGGAGUUGCUUAGACAACUAGGAUGUUGGCUUAGAAGCAGCCACCAUUUAAAGAGUGCGUAAUAGCUCACUAGUCGAGUGACUCUGCGCCGAAAAUGUACCGGGGCUAAAUACACCACCGAAGCUGCGGA
rnacentral:rRNA from 1 species